rnacentral:rRNA from 1 species
GUGGCGAACGGGUGAGUAAUACAUCGGAACGUGCCCUGUAGUGGGGGAUAACUAGUCGAAAGACUAGCUAAUACCGCAUACGACCUGAGGGUGAAAGUGGGGGACCGCAAGGCCUCAUGCUAUAGGAGCGGCCGAUGUCUGAUUAGCUAGUUGGUGGGGUAAAGGCCCACCAAGGCGACGAUCAGUAGCUGGUCUGAGAGGACGAUCAGCCACACUGGGACUGAGACACGGCCCAGACUCCUACGGGAGGCAGCAGUGGGGAAUUUUGGACAAUGGGGGCAACCCUGAUCCAGCAAUGCCGCGUGUGUGAAGAAGGCCUUCGGGUUGUAAAGCACUUUUGUCCGGAAAGAAAUCGCACUGGUUAAUACCUGGUGUGGAUGACGGUACCGGAAGAAUAAGGACCGGCUAACUACGUGCCAGCAGCCGCGGUAAUACGUAGGGUCCAAGCGUUAAUCGGAAUUACUGGGCGUAAAGCGUGCGCAGGCGGUUGUGCAAGACCGAUGUGAAAUCCCCGGGCUUAACCUGGGAAUUGCAUUGGUGACUGCACGGCUAGAGUGUGUCAGAGGGAGGUAGAAUUCCACGUGUAGCAGUGAAAUGCGUAGAGAUGUGGAGGAAUACCGAUGGCGAAGGCAGCCUCCUGGGAUAACACUGACGCUCAUGCACGAAAGCGUGGGGAGCAAACAGGAUUAGAUACCCUGGUAGUCCACGCCCUAAACGAUGUCAACUAGUUGUUGGGGAUUCAUUUCCUUAGUAACGUAGCUAACGCGUGAAGUUGACCGCCUGGGGAGUACGGUCGCAAGAUUAAAACUCAAAGGAAUUGACGGGGACCCGCACAAGCGGUGGAUGAUGUGGAUUAAUUCGAUGCAACGCGAAAAACCUUACCUACCCUUGACAUGCCACUAACGAAGCAGAGAUGCAUUAGGUGCUCGAAAGAGAAAGUGGACACAGGUGCUGCAUGGCUGUCGUCAGCUCGUGUCGUGAGAUGUUGGGUUAAGUCCCGCAACGAGCGCAACCCUUGUCUCUAGUUGCUACGAAAGGGCACUCUAGAGAGACUGCCGGUGACAAACCGGAGGAAGGUGGGGAUGACGUCAAGUCCUCAUGGCCCUUAUGGGUAGGGCUUCACACGUCAUACAAUGGUGCAUACAGAGGGUUGCCAAGCCGCGAGGUGGAGCUAAUCCCAGAAAAUGCAUCGUAGUCCGGAUCGUAGUCUGCAACUCGACUACGUGAAGCUGGAAUCGCUAGU